GGUUCAGCUCCCCGAAAGGCCCGCGAUGCCUCUACACAAGUAUCCCGUGUGGCUCUGGAAGCGGUUGCAGCUACGGGAGGGCAUCUGUUCCCGCCUGCCCGGCCACUACCUGCGCUCCCUGGAGGAGGAGCGGACGCCCACUCCCGUGCACUACAGGCCUCACGGGGCCAAGUUCAAGAUCAACCCCAAGAACGGGCAGCGGGAGCGUGUGGAGGACGUGCCCAUCCCCAUCUACUUUCCCCCCGAGUCCCAGCGGGGGUUGUGGGGCGGCGAGGGCUGGAUCCGGGGCCAAAUAUAUGCCAACAACGACAAGCUCUCCAAGAGGCUGAAGAAGGUGUGGAAGCCACAGCUGUUUGAGCGAGAGCUCUACAGUGAGAUCCUAGACAAGAAGUUCACAGUGACUGUGACCAUGCGGACCCUGGACCUCAUCGAUGAGGCUUACGGGCUCGACUUUUACAUCCUCAAGGCAAGCAGGGUGGGGCGAGUCAGUGCACAGCAGGGUCCGGGAUGGGCCAGUCAGACUCAAGGGAGCCCCAGGUCAGCAUCACACCGGGGCACGCUGGCAUCUGCACAGGAGGGUCACUGGGAAAGUGUGAGUGGGGCCAUGCCCCUUUCUGGCCAGCGCCAGUGGCAUUUCCUGCCUGCACGAGAGGCUGUCGCUCUGUGGGUGGCUGACUUGCCCAUGGGGCCUGAGCAAGCAUAGCCACCCCUUUCCCUGCUCUUGGACUUGCUUCUGUCCUGAUCCCACCCCCCGUGCUGGGGUGCUGACGUGGCCCCACCUGGGCCUUCUCUGUCCUGUCCUGGGACCACCAGCGGCUAGAGAGGAGCCAGGUGGGUUGGCUGGAAGGGUAGGCGGGGCCCUGCCACCAGCACCUGGCCCCAUGUGAGCCUUCUGCCAGACCCCGAAGGAGGACCUGUGCUCCAAGUUUGGGAUGGACCUGAAGCGAGGAAUGCUGCUGCGGCUUGCCCGGCAGGACCCCCAGCUGCACCCCGAGGACCCUGAGCGGCGGGCAGCCAUCUACGACAAGUACAAGGAAUUUGCCAUCCCAGAGGAGGAGGCAGAGUGGGUGGGCCUCACGCUGGAGGAGGCCAUUGAGAAGCAGAGACUCCUGGAGGAGAAGGACCCUGUACCUCUGUUCAAGAUCUAUGUGGCGGAGCUGAUCCAGCAGCUGCAGCAGCAGGCACUGUCAGAGCCGGCGGUGGUGCAGAAGAGAGCCAGUGGCCAGUGACCACACAGCUCCUCCAUGCCUGACCAACAGGCCCAGCCUUCCCUGCCAGGCCCUUUGCACUGAGGACACAGAUCCCGGGGAGCUGUGAGGGCUACCGGUGGGCAGUGGGUGGAUCCUGGUUUCGUGUGCUGCCGAUGCACCUUCCAGCCCGGGGCCAGCUUGGCAGGGAUCCCCAGGAGGCCUGGGCCGCCCAGAGGCUCCUCUCAGGCUGGGCCCCCACGUUUGUAGCAGUGUUCCUUGUGCCUGUGGGGCCGGGAGUGAGUAAAGUCUGGGCCAGGCUGUGUGUGUGUGUG
rnacentral:sRNA from 1 species